rnacentral:rRNA from 1 species
AUACGGGGGGUGCAAGCGUUAAUCGGAAUUACAGGGCGUAAAGCGCGCGUAGGCGGUUUGCUCAGUCGGAUGUGAAAGCCCAGGGCUCAACCUUGGAACUGCAUACGAUACUGGCAAACUAGAGUGUGCGAGAGGAUAGUGGAAUUUCCGGUGUAGCGGUGAAAUGCGUAGAUAUCGGAAGGAACAUCAGUGGCGAAGGCGACUGUCUGGCUCAACACUGACGCUGAGGUGCGAAAGCGUGGGCAGCAAACAGGAUUAGAAACCCUUGUAGUCC